rnacentral:piRNA from 1 species
UGCAUUUUGAAAGACUUAGUUAGAUUAACAUA